CCUACGGGAGGCAGCAGUGAGGAAUAUUGGUCAAUGGGCGAGAGCCUGAACCAGCCAAGUCGCGUGAGGGAAGACGGUCCUAUGGAUUGUAAACCUCUUUUGCCGGGGAGCAAAAAGCGGUACGUGUACCGCAUCGAGAGUACCCGGAGAAAAAGCAUCGGCUAACUCCGUGCCAGCAGCCGCGGUAAUACGGAGGAUGCGAGCGUUAUCCGGAUUUAUUGGGUUUAAAGGGUGCGUAGGCGGAUCGUUAAGUCAGUGGUCAAAUUGAGGGGCUCAACCCCUUCCCGCCAUUGAAACUGGCGAUCUUGAGUGGAAGAGAAGUAUGCGGAAUGCGUGGUGUAGCGGUGAAAUGCAUAGAUAUCACGCAGAACCCCGAUUGCGAAGGCAGCAUGCCGGCUUCCGACUGACGCUGAAGCACGAAAGCGUGGGGAUCGAACAGGAUUAGAUACCCUAGUAGUC
rnacentral:rRNA from 1 species